rnacentral:rRNA from 1 species
UACGAAGGGGGCUAGCGUUGUUCGGAAUUACUGGGCGUAAAGCGCACGUAGGCGGACAUUUAAGUUGGAGGUGAAAGCCUUGGGCUCAACCCAAGAAUUGCCUUUGAUACUGGAUGUCUCGAGACCGGGAGAGGUGAGUGGAAUUCCGAGUGUAGAGGUGAAAUUCGUAGAUAUUCGGAAGAACACCAGUGGCGAAGGCGGCUCACUGGCCCGGUUCUGACGCUGAGGUGCGAAGGCGUGGGGAGCAAACAGG